CCUACGGGUGGCAGCAGUGGGGAAUAUUGCACAAUGGGGGAAACCCUGAUGCAGCGACGCCGCGUGAGCGAUGAAGUCUUUCGGUAUGUAAAGCUCUAUCAGCAGGGAAGAAAAUGACGGUACCUUACUAAGAAGCCCCGGCGAACUACGUUCCAGCAGCCGCGGUAAUACGUAGGGGGCAAGCGUUAUCCGGAUUUACGGGGUGGAAAGGGGGCGUUGACGGCGGGGCAAGCCAGAUGGGAAAGCCGGGGGCUCAACCCCGGGACUGCCUUUGGAACGGUGCGGCUAGAGGGUGGGAGAGGCAGGCGGAAUUCCUAGUGUAGCGGUGAAAUGCGUAGAUAGUAGGAGGAACACCAGUGGCGAAGGCGGCCUGCUGGACGAUGACUGACGUUGAGGCGCGAAAGCGUGGGGAGCAAACAGGAUUAGAUACCCCUGUAGUC
rnacentral:rRNA from 1 species